rnacentral:rRNA from 1 species
GAUGAACGCUGGCGGCGUGCCUAAUACAUGCAAGUCGAGCGAACAGACGAGGAGCUUGCUCCUCUGACGUUAGCGGCGGACGGGUGAGUAACACGUGGAUAACCUACCUAUAAGACUGGGAUAACUUCGGGAAACCGGAGCUAAUACCGGAUAAUAUAUUGAACCGCAUGGGUCAAUAGUGAAAGACGGUUUUGCUGUCACUUAUAGAUGGAUCCGCGCCGCAUUAGCUAGUUGGUAAGGUAACGGCAUACCAAGGCUACGAUGCGUAGCCGACCUGAGAAGGUGAUCGGCCCGAUUGGAAAUGAGACACGGUCCAGACUCCACCGGGAGGCAGCAGUAGGGAAUCCUGCGCAAAGGGGGAAAGAUUGACGGAGCAACGCGGAGUGAGUGAUGAAGGUCUUCCGCUCGUAAAACUAUGUUAUUAGGGAAGAAAAAAUGUGUAAGUAACUAUGCACGUAUUGACGGUACCUAAUCAGAAAGCCACGGCUAACUACGUG